AACGAACGCUGGCGGCAUGCCUAACACAUGCGAGUCGAACGAGACCUUCGGGUCUAGUGGCGCACGGGUGCGUAACGCGUGGGAACCUGCCCUUAGGUUCGGAAUAACUCCCCGAAAGGGGUGCUAAUACCGGAUAAUGUCUUCGGACCAAAGAUUAUCGCCUUUGGAUGGGCCCGCGUUGGAUUAGCUAGUUGGUAGGGUAAAAGCCUACCAAGGCGACGAUCCAUAGCUGGUCUGAGAGGAUGAUCAGCCACACUGGGACUGAGACACGGCCCAGACUCCUACGGGAGGCAGCAGUGGGGAAUAUUGGACAAUGGGCGAAGGCCUGAUCCAGCAAUGCCGCGUGAGUGAUGAAGGCCUUAGGGUUGUAAAGCUCUUUUACCCGGGAUGAUAAUGACAGUACCGGGAGAAUAAGCGCCGGCUAACUCCGUG
rnacentral:rRNA from 1 species